rnacentral:tRNA from 1 species
GCCGGGGUGGUGAAACUGGUAGACGCGCUGGACUCAAAAUCCAGUGGGGGCGACCCCGUGCGGGUUCGAGUCCCGCCCCCGGCA